CUCAGGGAGAAGAUACACUAUGUUCGGACAGAGGGGACGCAAGGGGUAGAGAAGCUGUCGUGCGACGCCGACCUGGUCAUCCUAUUGAGCUUGUUUGAAGAGGAAAUCAUGUCCCACAUUCCGCCUCACCCUAUCCAUCCCGGCUUUAGCUUCUCCCCUCGAUGUUCCCCGGCUUCGUCUCCACAAAACUCACCAGGUUUGCAGAGGGCCAGAGCUCCAGCUCCUUACCGCAGAGACUUUGAAGCCAAAUUGAGGAACUUCUACAGGAAACUAGAAGCCAAGGGUUACGGCCAAGGACCUGGCAAAAUAAAGU